GCCUGCGCGGUGAGAGUUGCGCGGCUCUGGGUGGGGACGCCCGGGGGCCUGUGCCCGCGGGGAGGUCGUUGCCCUCCGACCUUCCCUCGGCGCUCCCCGCGCGGGGCGGUGCCCCCUCUCCCCUCGGCAAGGGCGGGCCAGGCGGCGGAGGAAGCUCUCCCGCUGGAGGCAGACUCCGAGAGAACUAAGCGCCGUGUGGAGAGUCCUGGCCGGCACCUGUGGGCAGAGCCCGGGUUCCGCGGAUCGGACCUGCGCUGUGCUCGCCGUCGGCGGGGACCCCGGGGCUGGCUCGGCCCUCAGCGCCAGGACUGCGACCCUCACUGACCCUCUUUUUUACUUUUUAAAGUAAGGCUACCUGGAAAAGAAUCUAACUACAGAUGUGGCUCCCGUUUGCCUCUCACAUCGCAUCUCAGUGAAACAUGGCUGCUCUGAAAUAGGGACGCCCGGGUGGCUCAGCGGGUGAGCCUCGGCCUCGGCUCAGGGCGCGACCCCCGGACCCGGGAUGGCGUCCUGCGUGGGCUCCCCAGCCUGUGUCUCUGCCUCUCUCUCUCUCAUGACCCUGUCAGACGUUUUCUGCUCCCUUCUUCACAAGACCGCGAGGCUAAAUGACGCCACUAGGCAGUGACAGACGGAGACUUCAGCUCUUCGGACUCAAAGUCCACCUGUGGAAAGAGAGAUUCUGGAAAUGCUUCUCUCUCCAGAGGCAGAAGAUCCUCAAGCCCCCAAAGGACUGGGAGUGUCUCCAAAACGUACACUUGGAUACUGGUUCUGAAAAAAAAAUCUAUAGGGAAAUCGAUUUUGAAGGGAUCUGGAAAAAAGUAACAAGCUUUACACCAAGCACGGGGCUUGGACUCACAACCUGGUGAUCAAGAGUCCCACACACUCUACUGACUGAGCCAGCCAGGAGACCUAGAGUCUUUAUUUUUUAAGCAAUCUCUACACCCAACGUGGGGCAUGAAUUCAUGACCCUGAGAUCAAGAGUCAUAUGCCUUACUGACUGAGCCAGCCAGGCAACCGGAAAAAGAAUAAUUUCUGAGUGAGUUUUGAAUGAGACCCAAAAUUUCAACUUUUGACAUCACACAUCACCAAUCUCAGGAAGUUCUGUCCUCUGUGCUAAUAUGUUGAUGAAACACAAUAUGUGUUCCUCUAAUCUGUCAGAAAAUUUUUGGUAAAUGUAGAAAUAAUACAGGAGAUGCAAAAUUUUAUUCAUAGACAUUAGGAAAAAGUGAGAGGCUCAAAAAGAGGAAUGAAAAUAAUAGCAUAUAAAAAAAAAAUCUUGAGCCAGAAGAAAAGUUUAGAACUAGCUCAAAGGAAAGUGGCCAGUGGUUCAGGAAAGGGAGGAGACCUUCUGGGUAUAUGGCUUCCUGGUAUAGGAAGAUUAGCCCAUAAACUGUAUUAAAACGUCCAUUCUAGGGGCGCCUGCGUGGCUCAGUGGUUGAGCUCACCAUUUGGCUCACAGCGUGAUCCUGGUGUCCUGGGAUCAAGCCCCACAUCAGGCUCCCUGCAAGGAGUCUGCUUCUCCCUCACCUUCUGCCCUUCCUCCCCGCUCCCAGGACCCUGGUAUCAUGACCUGAGCCAAAGGCUGACGCUUCACUGACUAAGCCACCUAGGCACCCCUAGAGUGAACCUUUUAAUUGAGCCAGGAAAAGGUUCUUCAGUCAUUGAUCACUAAACCCAUCAGUUACUUCCUGUCUGUGUGGUAGGAUGAAAACAGAUAUAUUUCUCAGUAAAAUGAAAUGCGGUAACCAGGUGAGCAGACCAGAAAGUGAGCCAGAGUAUUGAAAAUGGAAAACACAAGGACAUAAGUCAAGCUCUCAAAAGUAGUCGAGGCCAAGGGUGCUUUUUGAGGGCUAAGAAAAUGUGGUGGGGGUUAUAAGACUGUAUAUAAUUAACCAAACUCAUAAACUGUAUACUUAAAAUAGGUGAAUUCUAUUGUACAUGAGUUAUAUUACAAUAAAGCUAAAUAAUAAAGAA